ensembl:lncRNA
UUGGCUCUUUGUACUCGGUGUGUGAAUAUUUACCCAAGGAUCUGCUGCUUCCCUAAGCCUUAGCAGGGUUAUUGUCUUGCAGAUGGUACCAGCACCCAUAAUGAUUGGCUACUAGGGUGUUUGCCUCAGCUAGAAGCAAGGAAUGAAGGAAAUCAGCAUGCUAGCAGGGGCUGGCUCACCCAAGCCGGAGGAGUUGGUGGACAUAUCUUGAGAGCAGGCUUGGUGCUGUCUCCUUUCCGCUCUGUUACUUCAGAAGCAGUGAGUUCUUUGAUGUGGUGGAGUUCAGAGUGUUCCUGGCAUUGCAUGGAUUGUUUCUCUCUGUUCCUGAGGAAUUGGGGUUAGGUUUUGAGAGCUUCAUCCGCUGGUCUCAACACAUGAAGGCCUCUGAUUUUGCAGUGGCAGAUCCACCGCUCUAUACCUCGAGAAAAGGACCCGUUGUGUCAAAAGGUUGUCAGAUGAGAAAAAGACCUAGAAGAGGAGGUAAAAGAAAACCCUGCCAGAAAUAUGUCACUUAUCGCCAUUUAACCGUCUCUUCUCCCAUACACCUGGGGAAGCAGAACUGUGUGGUUGCUGCUGCUGCUGUUCUAAGCAACGUUGUCAGCAUGCAGAAACAGAAGGCUGCUUUUACCAUGAAACCCAGCUCAGAGCCAACACAGAGAGCUGAGCGAGGAAGAAACCAAGUCCGUCAGAUGCCUCUCCUGUUCUCAUCCAUGGCAGAAGGGUGUGUGGAUGAUCUUCAGCCUGAAGGAGACCUGGUGAGGCUUCCAGAUCACACCUCAGAGAGCGCUUAAUUCUUGUCAGGUGCUGACAGGUCCUUCUUUUUCUUUUCUCUUUCACCCUGUGGAGGUGUCAAUGUUUUAAAAGCCCCGCCCCCACCACAAAUAAAAGUGAGAGGAGGGUCUGGAAAAGCAAGAGCCAGCUUGCCCAUUGGCACACUCAUCUGGGGAGAGGAGUCAGGAACUGCUAAUGGCUGUGCCAGCUGCCGUGGAAACCCUGCCAGGCUCGGGCAUGGAGUGUUCAUGUCGCCACUGAAACCCUCCCCCUUGGCCUCAACCACAGCAUGACUCGGGAGGCGAUCCUGGAACUUUGGGUAAAAAUGAACCCUUUUCUUGGGGCAAAGCAGCUGUAUGUCACUUUACUUUCUGACUCAACACACAGGCAAAAAUCCCGCUUUCUCUUGGGAUUGGAGGCCUUUGAGACUCAGCCUUUCAGGGUUGAAGGACUAGAAACCAUGGUUACUUUUUUAAAGGUAUUCUCCCCUCUUUCCUUCUCCCCUUCCUUGCUGUGAAAAAAAAAAAAAAACAAAAAAAAAACUCAAACAAAACAAACAAACAAACAACAACAACAACAACAACAAAAAACACAAAAAACACCCACGGAAAGCAAUGUAAGGAGGAGAGGGUUUAUUUUGGCUCCCAGCUGUGAGUGCAGUCCAGCAUGACAGAAGAGUUCUAGCUGUGGCAGCAGUAGAGCGAAGCAGCUGGCCAUAUGUAUCUGUGGACAGGAAGCAACAAAAAUGAAUGCUGGCACUCAGCUCCUGUCCUCAUUUCCUCCUUUUGAUUCAGCUCAGGACCCCAGUCCAUGAGAUAGUACUGACCAAAUUCAGGGUGUAUUUCCCCUCUUCAGUUAAACUUUCAUGGGGAUGGCCUCUCAGACGUGCCUAGAGAGAUGGCUCCUGGGUAAUUCUAAGUCUAGGUGCACUGACGGUGAAGAUUGACUAUCUCCAGUCCCUUCCCUUCUGCCUUCUCUCUUUUGUAAUACCACACACUGCCUAGCUACAUUUUAAAAACUGCUAUUAAAUCAAUUUAGAAAUGACUCUAAUCUAGACUAUAUUCGUUUUCCUUUCCGAGGUUUCAGUUACCUGUGAUCUACCAUAAUUAAAAAAUGGAAAAUCAGAAAUAAAAUAGUCACAUCA